rnacentral:piRNA from 1 species
UCUUUCUAAUAAGCUGAUGGAUGCUUGAU